rnacentral:rRNA from 1 species
CCUACGGGAGGCAGCAGUGAGGAAUAUUGGUCAAUGGGCGGACGCCUGAACCAGCCAAGCCGCGUGAAGGAAGAAGGCGCCAGGCGUCGUAAACUUCUUUUGUCGGGGAACAAAGGCCGCCACGUGUGGCGUUGUGAGUGUACCCGAAGAAAAAGCAUCGGCGAACUCCGUUCCAGCAGCCGCGGUAAUACGGAGGAUGCGAGCGUUAUCCGGAUUUAUUGGGUUUAAAGGGUGCGUAGGCGGUCCGGAAAGUCAGCGGUAAAAGCCCGGGGCUCAACCCCGGCGAGCCGUUGAAACUGGCGGUCUAGAGAGGGCGAGAAGUACGCGGAAUGCGUGGUGUAGCGGUGAAAUGCAUAGAGAUCACGCAGAACUCCGAUUGCGAAGGCAGCGUACCGGCGCCGAACUGACGCUGAGGCACGAAAGCGUGGGUAUCGAACAGGAUUAGAUACCCGAGUAGUC